rnacentral:rRNA from 1 species
GCUCAGGACGAACGCUGGCGGCGCGCCUAACACAUGCAAGUCGAACGAGAGAGAAGGAGCUUGCUUCUUCGAUCGAGUGGCGAACGGGUGAGUAACGCGUGAGGAACCUGCCUCAAAGAGGGGGACAACAGUUGGAAACGACUGCUAAUACCGCAUAAGCCCACAGGUCGGCAUCGACCAGAGGGAAAAGGAGCAAUCCGCUUUGAGAUGGCCUCGCGUCCGAUUAGCUAGUUGGUGAGGUAAUGGCCCACCAAGGCGACGAUCGGUAGCCGGACUGAGAGGUUGAACGGCCACAUUGGGACUGAGACACGGCCCAGACUCCUACGGGAGGCAGCAGUA